rnacentral:rRNA from 1 species
AGACGAACCGUGCGAACGUUAUUCGGAAUCACUGGGCUUAAAGCGCGUGUAGGCGGGCCGGCACGUCGGUCGCUGAAAUCCCCCGGCUCAACCGGGGAAGGGGCGCCGAUACGACCGGCCUGGAGGGGCGUAGGGGGACCGGGAACUUCCGGUGGAGCGGUGAAAUGCGUUGAGAUCGGAAGGAACGCCCGUGGCGAAAGCGCGGUCCUGGACGCCUGCUGACGCUGAGACGCGAAAGCCAGGGGAGCGAACGGGA